GAUGAGCUGGCUGAAGGGGAGGCAGAGGCAGAGAAGGGAUUCUAUUAAUGGAAGGAAGAGUGAAAGAGAAGGAAGCUCAGGAAGGUCUCAUAGAAGAUUCACAGAGAAAGUACCAAGUGGCAAUACACAUUCAAGCUUUUUUUUGCUUUUGUUUUUAAACUUUAUCUUCACUUGCAACGUAAUCUGGCCACCAGUGUUUAGUUCUGCAAACAUCUCUGCUGCUUCAGAAUACAGAACAUUGUUAUAUCGAUACGACAACAGCACGCUGACACAUUGUGAUGAAAUUUGGUUGCUGUAUCGUGAAACACCCAUACUGACAUUUCAC